rnacentral:tRNA from 1 species
AAAAAGGUAAGCUAAAUGAAAGCUAAUGGGUUCAUACCCCGUAUAUAGGAUUUAACCUCCUUUUUA